rnacentral:rRNA from 1 species
AGUGAACGCUGGCGGUAGGCCUAACGCAUGCAAGUCGACCGGCAGCACAGUAAGAGCUUGCUCUUACGGGUGGCGAGUGGCGGACGGGUGAGGAAUACAUCGGAAUCUACUUUUUCGUGGGGGAUAACGUAGGGAAACUUACGCUAAUACCGCAUACGACCUACGGGUGAAAGCAGGGGAUCUUCGGACCUUGCGCGAUUGAAUGAGCCGAUGUCGGAUUAGCUAGUUGGCGGGGUAAAGGCCCACCAAGGCGACGAUCCGUAGCUGGUCUGAGAGGAUGAUCAGCCACACUGGAACUGAGACACGGUCCAGACUCCUACGGGAGGCAGCAGUGGGGAAUAUUGGACAAUGGGCGCAAGCCUGAUCCAGCCAUACCGCGUGGGUGAAGAAGGCCUUCGGGUUGUAAAGCCCUUUUGUUGGGAAAGAAAAGCAGCAGGUUAAUACCCCGCUGUUCUGACGGUACCCAAAGAAUAAGCACCGGCUAACUUCGUG